AGUGAACGCUGGCGGUAGGUCUAACACAUGCAAGUCGAACGGCAGCACAGUAAGAGCUUGCUCUUACGGGUGGCGAGUGGCGGCCGUGCGAGGAAUACAUCGGAAUCUACUUUUUCGUGGGGGAUAACGUAGUGAAACUUACGCUAAUACCUCAUACGACCUACGGGUGAAAGGAGUGGAUCUUCGUAUCUUGCGCGUUUGAAUGAGGCGCUGUCGGAGUAGCUAGUGGGCGGGGUCAACCCCCACCAAGGCAACGAUCCGUAGCUGGUCUGAGCGGAUGAUCAGCCACACUGGAACUGAGACACGGUCCAGCCUCCUACGGGAGGCAGCAGUGGGGAAUAUUGGACAAUGGGCGCAAGCCUGAUCCAGCCAUACCGAGUGGGUGAAGAAGGCCUUCGGGUUGUAAAGCCCUUUUGUUGGGAAAGAAAAGCAGCAGGUUAAUACCACGCUGUUCUGACGGUACCCAAAGAAUCAGCACCGGCUAACUUCGUG
rnacentral:rRNA from 1 species